CUCAUUCUGUCUUGCCGCCACAAUGUAAGAAUUGUCUCUCACCCUCUGCCAUGUAAGAAUUCUCUUUCACCCUCUGCCGUGAUCGUGAGACCUUCCCCAGCCAUGUGAAACUUAUCUUACAGAGCAAGACUGCAGAUCAAGAUUUUCCAACGUGGUGCUGACUUUUUUGAGAACAGUUAAUGAGAACUAGGAAAGUCCUUGCAGACCAUCCAGUCCAGCGGCUUUCAAAUGGAAAAUGUGAAAGGACAACAGAAUCACAUGGAUUCUUUUCUGAACUGCUUUUUUCCAGUGAUGCCAUAUUCUAUAAGACUUCAUGUGAAGGUGUGGAGGACGGGAUGUACUCACAUCCCAACAAAUUGAAAAUGCUGACCAAUCCCAGCACAGCCAACUCGAAUUUGCUCCUUCAUCAAAGUGACCAGCACCUCAUUUCUUCCUCUUUAGAAUUUAUAGUUCAGGAACUUUGCAGAUCUCUUAUUAACUCUUCAGUUAAUAAUGAGAGUCCUAUGGCUAUUGAUAUCUAACAUCCUGGCUUCACUCACAUGGAUGAGCCCCACCUGGAAUGCCUAGAAGACGUGGGACAGCUGGAUCUCUCUCCACACGGUUUUUCAUUGUUGCCUCAGGUUCCAAUAAAAGCAAAAGCUGCAAGGUCUUCUGAGGCAAAGACUUAGAAAUACCACAAUGUUACUUCUGCUGCAUUCUGUUGAUAAAAGAAUCCCACAAUGCCAGCUUCAUUUAAAGGGGUAAAGAUAUAGAUUAUUCACCUUCGAUGGGAGGAACUGCAAAUGAUGUAAUUAGUGAUAAUUUUUAAUAUACUGUAAUGUAUUGACUUAUCUUUAAAAAAUGAAAAAAUAAACCAAAAACUAAAAGCAAAACAAAACUAUAAUAGAAAACAAUUGCUUCUGGAGGAGGAAUGCAAUGGGGAAAAGGUUAUAGAAACAAAAGCUACAUUUUAUUUGAAUAUACCUGUUUUAGGUUUGACCCUGGUAACAUUUGAUAUUUUACAUAAUUAUAUCAUUAUUUAAAAUUAAAUUUUAAAACACCAAUACCCAUAACAGAAAAGUUUGAUAAAAGAGGUGAAAUAUAAAUAUAAA
ensembl:lncRNA novel transcript